CAUCCACACCGAGCAGGCUGAAAAGUUAGCUUGGCCACGGUAGAUCGCGGGUUUGAUUCCCACCGUGGCCAAGCUAACUUUUCAGCCUGCUCGGUGUGGAUG